AGUCAGUCCCUUCGCGCUCCUGAGCCGCCGGCGCGCCGGGCGCCCCGGGAAUUUAUAAGUAUUUGACCAUACUCAAAAUGUGCAAGGAAGAAUAAUGGAAGCCCCUGAAUACCUUGAUUUGGAUGAAAUUGACUUUAGUGAUGACAUAUCUUAUUCAGUCACAUCACUCAAGACGAUCCCAGAACUGUGCCGAAGAUGUGAUACACAAAACGAAGACAGAUCAGUUUCUAGCUCUAGCUGGAAUUGUGGCAUCUCAACUCUUAUUACAAACACGCAAAAGCCCACAGGAAUCGCUGAUGUGUACAGUAAGUUCCGCCCAGUGAAGCGGGUUUCGCCACUGAAACAUCAGCCAGAGACUCUGGAGAACAAUGAAAGUGAUGACCAAAAGAACCAGAAAGUGGUUGAGUACCAGAAAGGGGGUGAGUCUGACUUGGGCCCCCAGCCUCAGGAGCUCAGCCCUGGAGAUGGAGUGGGUGGCCCACCAGGUAAGAGCUCUGAGCCCAGCACAUCGCUGGGUGAACUGGAGCACUACGACCUCGACAUGGAUGAGAUUCUGGAUGUGCCUUAUAUUAAAUCCAGUCAGCAGCUUGCCUCUUUUACCAAGGUGACUUCAGAAAAAAGAAUUUUGGGCUUAUGCACAACCAUCAAUGGCCUUUCUGGCAAAGCCUGCUCUACAGGAAGUUCUGAGAGCUCAUCAUCCAACAUGGCACCAUUUUGUGUUCUUUCUCCCGUGAAAAGCCCUCACUUGAGAAAAGCAUCAGCUGUCAUCCACGACCAGCACAAGCUGUCCACUGAAGAAACCGAGAUCUCACCUCCUCUGGUUAAAUGUGGCUCUGCAUAUGAGCCUGAAAACCAGAGUAAAGACUUCCUAAACAAGACAUUUAGUGAUCCUCAUGGUCGAAAAGUUGAGAAGACAACACCAGACUGCCAGCUCAGGGCCUUCCACCUACAAUCCUCAGCAGCAGAAUCCAAAGCAGAAGAGCAGGUCAGUGGCCUAAACUGGACCAGCUCCCAAGGCCCAGAAGAAAGGAGUGAAUAUCUGAAAAAAGUGAAAAGCAUCUUAAACAUUGUUAAAGAAGGACAGAUCUCUCUCCUGCCACACCUAGCUGCAGACAAUCUAGACAAAAUUCACGACGAAAAUGGAAACAAUCUAUUACAUAUUGCGGCAUCACAGGGACACGCAGAGUGUCUACAGCACCUCACUUCUUUGAUGGGAGAAGACUGCCUCAAUGAGCGCAACACUGAGAAGUUGACUCCAGCAGGCCUGGCCAUUAAGAAUGGUCAGUUGGAGUGCGUACGCUGGAUGGUGAGUGAAACAGAAGCCAUUGCAGAACUGAGUUGUUCUAAGGAUUUUCCAAGCCUUAUUCAUUACGCAGGUUGCUAUGGCCAGGAAAAGAUUCUUCUAUGGCUUCUUCAGUUUAUGCAAGAACAGGGCAUCUCGUUGGAUGAAGUAGACCAGGAUGGCAACAGUGCUGUUCACGUAGCCUCACAGCAUGGCUACCUUGGAUGCAUACAGGUACACAGUCCCUGCUGUUUUGCAAUGAGAAAUGAGUAUAUCAAAUAUUAAACAAAACAUUAAAAUUAUGUUCACUAGGAGAAUAUCUGAAUUAAUUCACCUUUUGUAUGGUUGUAGACAAUAAGGAAUUAUUGCUCUAUUUGUAUUUCCAGAAAUCCACACAAAUGUAGGUAGGCAUAAAUAUCCAUAAGAGUUUCUCUUUCAGUGUCCCAGGGUGUUGAAAGGGACUUUUCCUGCUCCCUUAUCACUGCUCUAAAGCCCCAGUGCUGAGGACAAUAGACGUUAAAUUUCCCCAUGUUCUCAAGGCACCAGAGAAACCACUACCAGGCAGACAUCUGUCUCUCAAGUGGCAGGCUGCUCUUCCCCUCACUAGUAAAUUUCACCCUCCCAGGUAUAUGAAGAAUAAGACAGAUUUUUCAGGAAUGGAUUAGAAUUCUUUGUGGUAGGGAGUUGUAGGCUAGAGAGAGAAUGCUGUGGUUCCCCCUUUCUCUGUAGUAGGACUGAGCUUCUCAAAUGCAUUCAAAA
rnacentral:sRNA from 1 species